rnacentral:rRNA from 1 species
CCUGGUUGAUCUUACUAGUAGUCAUAUGCUUGUCACAAAGAUUAAGCCAUACAUGUGUAAAUAUGGACUAAUUCAGACUAUGAAAUUGUGAAUGGCUCAUUAAAUUAGUUAUAGUUUGUUUGAUGGUAUCUACUACUCGGAUAACCAUUGUAAUUCUAGAGCUAAUAUGUGCAACAAACCCUAACUUCUUGAAGGGAAGCAUUUAUUAGUUAAAGGUCAAUGCGGGCUUUGCCUGUUACUUUAUUGGUUCAUAAUAACUUAAUGGAUCACAUGACCUUUGUGUCGAUGAUGCAUCAUUCAAAAUCUUGCCCUAUCAACUUUUGGUGGCAGGAUAGUGGCAUACUAUGGUGGUGAUGGGCGAAGGAGAAUUAGGGUUUGAAUAUGGUAAGAGAGCUUAAGAAACAAUUACCACAUCCAAUUAAGGUAAUAGGCGCACAAAUUACCUAAUCUUGACAUGGGGAGGUAGUGACAAUAAAUAACAAUGCCAAGCUCUAUGAGUUUGGUAAUUGGAAUGAGUACAAUCUAAAUCCCUUAACAAGCAUCCAUUGAAAGCAAGUUUGGUGCUAGCAGCCAUGGUAAUUCUAGCUUUAAUAGUUAUAUUUAAGUUGUUACAGUUAAAAAGCUUGUAGUUGAAACUAGGGUUAGGUCAUCCGAUCUACCUUAUGGUCAACAUUGAUCUAUUCAUCUUUAAUAUUAGUGAUACACUCUUGGCUUUAACUGGCUAGGUCAUUCCUUUGAUACAUUACUUUAAAGAACUUAGAGUGCUUAAAGCAAGCCUACGCUUGCAUACAUUAGCAUAGGAUAACAUUAUAGGAUUUUGGUCCUAUUAUGUUGGCCCUUAAGAUAGGAGUAAUAAUUAAUAAUGACAAUCGGGGCAUUCAUAUUUCAUAGUUAGAGAUGAAAUUCUUAGAUUUAUGAUAGACGAACAACUAUAAAACCAUUUACCAAUGAUGUUUUCAUUAAUAAAAAACAAAGACAAUCAGAUAUUAUCUUAGUCUCAACCAUAAAUGUGCCAACCUAAGAUUGGCAGAUGUUACAUUUUCAAACUUCACUGACACCUUAUGAGAAAUCAAAGUAUUUGGGUUCCAAAGGGUGUAUGGUCACAAGGCUUAAACUUAAAGGAAUUGAUGGAAAGGCACCACUAGGAGUGGAGCUUGUAGCUUAAUUUGACUCAACAUGGGGAAACUUACCAAGUCUAGACAUAGUAAGGAUUGACAGGCUAAGAGCUCUUUCUUGAUUUUAUAGGAGGUGGCACAUGGCUAUUCUUAGUUGGUGAAGCACUUUGUCUAGUUAAUUCUAUUAAUGAACGAGGCCUCAGCCUGCUAACUAGCUAUGUAAAGGUGAUCCUUCAUGGCUAGCUUUAUAGAGGGACUAUAGCCACUUAGGCCAAGGGAGUUUGAGGUAAUAAUAGGUCUGUGAUGCCUUUUAAUGUUCUAGGUUGCAUGCACCCUACACUGAUGUAUUCAAUGAGUUUAUAGCCUUGGUUAACAAGCCCGAGUAAUCUUUGAAAUUUCAUUGUGAUGGGGAAAUAUCAUUGCAAUUGUUGGUCUUCAAUAAGAAAUUCCUACUAAGAGCGAGAAGUCUACUGAACCUUAUCAUUUAGAGGAAGGAAAAUCAUAGCAAGGUUUCAUAGGUGAACCUAUGGAAGGAUUAUUG